rnacentral:rRNA from 1 species
CACCUUUCUGCACAGGAGGUGUAGGGUCUCACAUAGAUGAAGAGCGCUGUGAGAUGUGAUAUGUAUUAUGAAAUGCAGGAGUCACAGAGUCUUAGAAAUUUUGAGCGCAUAUUGCACUUUCGGGGUAUACCCGGAAGUAUACCCGUAUCAGAGUCUGUA